UACGGAGGAUGCAAGCGUUAUCCGGAAUGAUUGGGCGUAAAGGGCGCGUAGGCGGCCGAUCAAGUCGGGGGUGAAAGCCUGUGGCUCAACCACAGAAUUGCCUUCGAUACUGUUUGGCUUGAGACCGGAAGAGGUUAGUGGAACUGCGAGUGUAGAGGUGGAAUUCGUAGAUAUUCGCAAGAACACCAGUGGCGAAGGCGGCUCACUGGUCCGGUUCUGACGCUGAGGCGCGAAAGCGUGGGGAGCAAACAGG
rnacentral:rRNA from 1 species